CCUGGCCCACCUGCAUAAGUAAUAUCUGGCUAAGAAGGUGGCAAUCUCAGGACUGCUACCCGCCGUACGAACAUAGGGAGGGGAGCGCGAACCAAUUUUAGAGCGCAGCGCCGACGGCGAAGGUACUCGUGAGACAGCGCGGCAGCAGUCGAGCUGAGAGGUCAGGGAGGGGAGCGCGACGAACACAGGGAGGGGAGCGCGAAAGCCUCACCAAUUUUAGAGCCCAGCGCCGACGGCGAAGGCGCUCGUGAGAGAGAGCGGCAGCAGUCGAGCCGAGGUCAGGGCUCAACCCUUGUCUUCGUCGUGUGCGUGUGAAUGAGUAGGUGAGAACAGGGGAUGACGAUUGCCUCGCCAAUUUCAGAGGCGGCGGCAGCCAGCCUCGCCGGAGCUAAUCGUGGCGGAGAUCCUUGAGGUGACAACAUUUUGGAAGAAGAUCUAGGGCACGAACUGAGAAAUUGAGGGAUGAGAAGGAGAGGGGUGAAAAUCUGCUGAGAGAUGAGGAGAAAUGGAGGCACGGCUUCGCUGGAUCCAGGCACCGUGGCCGACGACGCCGGAGAAGAGAAGGAGGGCGGGNGCAGCAAUCUUAAUCAAUUUUUGGUUGUUUUAACACUUUCUUUCUUCAAGUGUAAAUUGUCAAGACCAAUCUUCAACACUCAAUCAAUAUGGAUAUCAAAUAUACAUAGCGCAUUUUUUCACUCAAAAAUAGAUUUCUCAUGAGAUAGAAGGAUAGAGCGUCAUGCAUCGAACGUCUUAUGUAUAUUGAGAUGGGUGGCUAUAUAGCUAGAGUGGGAGUUACUUCAUUAAAUCUAGCUCCAUAUUUCCAUGCAAAAAAACUGGGAAUCUUGAUUAGGAUAUGCUAAUUACAAAGGCAAUAUUUUUGGUUGAAUGAAGCAUCAAUUUCAAAGUAAUAGUUCCAUACGUGCAAGCAUGAACCAUAGGCAGCCUUAGCUUUCAAUACUCAACAAGCAAGCUAGCUCCUAUGUCACAAUAACCAUUUUUAUAUAAUACACAUAUAUAUACAAUCUCUCUCUCUACUCGUCUCCCCAUAAACAAAAUUUCAAGAGGGUAAGACAGAAUAUAAUACUCCCUCCGUCCACGAAAUGAGUACCCAUAUUUCCUUUUUCGUCCGUCCACGAAAUGAGUAUCCAUUUCCCUUUUUGGCAAGUGUACCCCACACAUCUCUUUAAUUAAUACACUCAAAAAGUGGGACCCUUAAACUAUUUACACUACACUCCAUACAUUUCUUAAAACCCGUGCCGUCCACAAAUGGGUACUCAUUUCGUGGACGGAGGGAGUACAAAUUAAACUUAAAGAGUUUUAAGAGCAGUGGUCCAACUGUGGUGGAGUACAUGCAUAAAUGUAGGAGAACUAAGUGGAUAGAGUUGCAGAUUGAUAAAGGAAACUCGGAAUAUUCCAACAGCUAAACUUUUCCCUUUUCUCACUUUUGUGUUUAAACUAGCUUCACUAAUUUAAUUUCUUUCUUGAUUUAUAUAGAAGUAAGAAGCUGUCACCAAGGAUCCCUUUUUUGUCUGAUCAACCAGUUAUUUGUACACUAAUUUGAUUUCACAUCCGUCAUGUUAAUACCAAUUCUUAUGUAUUCGUGGAGAAAGGCUAAAUUGGACUGUCACAAAAUGAGUAAAUACCUUGAUACAGAGUGAGGGCAGAUUCUGACUUGGAUGCAACAGACCUUGAAGGAGAUUAAGACAUAACUCGAUUAGAACCUUUCAUCCUUUCAUUCUUGUGUGUGCAGAAAUUGAGUCUAAACAAAUUCUAAUGGAAAUUAAGCCGUUCAACUACGAGCAUGAUUUCACCACCAAAAGCUUCUCAAUCCACCCAUUGACCAAUCACCAAGAAACAUAAAAUAUGCAUACAUACAUACAUACAUACAUAUAUAGAUAUAUCAGCUCUUUUAGCUUCAUAUCAAAGUAUCAAAGAGUUCAUAAACAGCCCAACUUUCAGAAAUCAACUCAUCACUUGAACUACAUACAUUACACAGUAAAGAAGCACCCAACUAAAACUAAAUUGCACACACACACACACACACACACACACACACACACAUAUACAGAUCUGAAACAUGGGAUCCGUCCAAAGAUGGCAUUUUUUCGAAGAGGAUACCUAAUUCGAUAACUGAAUUUGGGAAAAUUUACCUGGCCCACCUGCAUAAGUAAUAUCUGGCUAAGAAGGUGGCAAUCUCAGGACUGCUACCCGCCGUACGAACAUAGGGAGGGGAGCGCGAACCAAUUUUAGAGCGCAGCGCCGACGGCGAAGGUACUCGUGAGACAGCGCGGCAGCAGUCGAGCUGAGAGGUCAGGGAGGGGAGCGCGACGAACACAGGGAGGGGAGCGCGAAAGCCUCACCAAUUUUAGAGCCCAGCGCCGACGGCGAAGGCGCUCGUGAGAGAGAGCGGCAGCAGUCGAGCCGAGGUCAGGGCUCAACCCUUGUCUUCGUCGUGUGCGUGUGAAUGAGUAGGUGAGAACAGGGGAUGACGAUUGCCUCGCCAAUUUCAGAGGCGGCGGCAGCCAGCCUCGCCGGAGCUAAUCGUGGCGGAGAUCCUUGAGGUGACAACAUUUUGGAAGAAGAUCUAGGGCACGAACUGAGAAAUUGAGGGAUGAGAAGGAGAGGGGUGAAAAUCUGCUGAGAGAUGAGGAGAAAUGGAGGCACGGCUUCGCUGGAUCCAGGCACCGUGGCCGACGACGCCGGAGAAGAGAAGGAGGGCGGGUGGGUGGAGGAUUUGAAGGGAGGAAGAGAACGAGAGAGGGAGAGUUGGAGAGAAAUCAUUAGGAACUUAGGGUUUUGAAUCUUGUAGUGAGAU
rnacentral:lncRNA from 1 species